rnacentral:rRNA from 1 species
AGAGUUUGAUCCUGGCUCAGGAUGAACGCUAGCUACAGGCUUAACACAUGCAAGUCGAGGGGCAGCAUGUUGGUUGCUUGCAACCAACGAUGGCGACCGGCGCACGGGUGAGUAACGCGUAUCCAACCUACCCUUGUCCAUCGGAUAACCCGUCGAAAGGCGGCCUAACACGAUAUGCGGUUCACAGCAGGCAUCUAACGUGAACGAAAUGUGAAGGAGAACCCCCGGAUGGGGAUGCGUCUGAUUAGCUUGUUGGCGGGGUAACGGCCACCAAGGCUACGAUCAGUAGGGGUUCUGAGAGGAAGGUCCCCCACAUUGGAACUGAGACACGGUCCAAAAUCCUACGGGAGGCA